rnacentral:misc_RNA from 1 species
AGAAGAUAUAUCAAAUCCAAAAUGUUGUAAAAAUAAAUACCAAAAAUUCAGAAAACAAAACCACCUCUAAGCAGUUGUUUUGGCAAUCUACUUCUUAUCUUCCUUCUCGGCCUCUGCAGCCUUCUUCAAUCUAGCUCCGACAUGUCGUGCAUUCAUCCUCUCAACACGUAGCUUGUCGUAUGCUUUGAACGAUUUCAUCUCCUCGGUGACCUUCACAAGCUCAACUGAUGCCUUCUCACGCCCAAUAGGUAGGUAUGGUCCUUGGACUUGGGUGGCAUUUGCAAGCUCCUCCGGAGUAGAAUCACCAGCCUUGAAUUUGCGUGCCCGUCUUGGGAAGACAACCACC